rnacentral:rRNA from 1 species
UACAGAGGGGGCAAGCGUUAUUCGGAAUUAUUGGGCGUAAAGGGCGCGUAGGCGGCUUUGCAAGUGACGGGUGAAAUCCCUCGGCUUAACCGAGGAACUGCCUGUCAGACUGUGAGGCUUGAGACCGGGAGAGGUGAGUGGAAUUCCCAGUGUAGCGGUGAAAUGCGUAGAUAUCAGGAGGAACACCGGUGGCGAAGGCAGCUCUCUGGGACGGUACUGACGCUGAGACGCGAAAGCGUGGGGAGCGAACAGG